rnacentral:rRNA from 1 species
UACGUAGGGUGCGGAGCGUUGUCCGGAUUUAUUGGGCGUAAAGAGCUCGUAGGCGGCUUGUCGCGUCGGAUGUGAAAGCCCGGGGCUUAACGUCCCGGGUCUGCAUUCGAUACGGGCAGGCUAGAGUGUGGUAGGGGAGAUCGGAAUUCCUGGUGUAGCGGUGGAAUGCGCAGAUAUCAGGAGGAACACCGAUGGCGAAGGCAGAUCUCUGGGCCGUAACUGACGCUGAGGAGCGAAAGCAUGGGGAGCGAACAGG